UACUAGCCAAAGAUGGAAGUGACUUC
rnacentral:piRNA from 1 species